rnacentral:lncRNA from 14 species
GAAAGAUGUCAGCCAUCACUGUCACAAGAGCUGUAGCCUGUGGAAAAAUGACAGAGAUGGGAGCAUGUAGGGUUUUAAGGUGGUUCCAGCUGGAGAUGACAGAGGAGAUGAGAAGACAGCAGGAGCAAGGGAGAGAUGCCCAUGCAUCUCAAACUGCAUGAAACAACAGACACAACAAGUGACCACUUGCCAGCUGCUGACCAUAGGGAGAAAAACAUGUCAAAGCAGGAACCCAGAAGUAAAAGAGAAUAUUUUUGCUCUGUUCUGCAUAUCCUUCGAGAAAAGAGGCUUCAGGAACUUGGCUGGAAGAGAAAGCCCACAGGAACACUCCCAGGACUCAAAGACAUGUUCCAGAGGGAGUCUGUCGAAAUGCU